rnacentral:lncRNA from 1 species
GUAUUACACUGUCCUGACUUGAGCUUUAUUCACAUUUGUUCUCUAGGUUAUUCAAGGACACGGAAAAGCCAACACCAUGGUAGCAUUAAUGAAAGUUUACCAAGAGGAAGAUGAAGCCUACCAGGAGUUAGUUACCGUGGCAACCAUGUUUUUCCAGUACUUACUGCAGCCAUUUAGGGCUAUGCGAGAAGUUGCAACUUUAUAAGUCCUUGGAUGAGGAUGACCUAGGUCCUAGAAGGGUAGUUGCCCUGGAGAAAGAAGCUGAAGAAUGGACCAGACGGGCUGAAGAAGCUGUCGUCUCUAUUCAAGAUAUCACAGUGAAUUAUUUUAAGGAGACAGUAAAAGCAUUAGCAGGAGUUUCUGAUAUAUUGCGCAGAAUCAACAAGAUAUAAAGCAGAAUGAUGAUCCUGGUUUUUUGGUCAAACUAUCCAUAUGAGCCUGUCUGUCUAGCUAGUCAUAGAAACAAUAUGGAAGCAAGUGUGCCAAAAUAUAAGAAGAAGUUGCCUCAACUAGGAAUGCAGAAAGAAAUGGAACAGGAUGUGAAGAGAUUUGGCCAGGCUGCCUGGGCCACAGCAAUUCCCAGGUUGGAAAAACUUAAGCUAAUGCUAGCUCAAGAGACUCUGCAACUCAUGAGAGCGAAAGAGUUGUGUUUAAAUCACAAAAGAGCUGAAAUUCAGGGAAAGAUGGAAGAUCUUCCAGAACAAGAAAAAAAUAUAAAUGUUGUAGAUGAAUUAGAAAUACAAUUUUAUGAAAUUCAGUUACAACUAUAUGAAGUUAAAUUUGAGAUAUUAAAAAACAAAGAAAUACUGCUUACUACACAGUUGGACUCUCUUAAAAGACUUAUAAAAG